GUGAUCACCAUUUGGUACAAAAACCGAGGCGCCAAAAUACCGUGAACAUGCCAUUUAUCGUGUAAUGCCAUUACACGAUACGUUCAGAGAUAUACAUGUCCAAAAGGUUUGUCUGUAGUUCUGACGAUAAGGCCAAUACCUGGAAAUUAUUCAAUAUGCCUUGCUCAAAAAGGGAGCCCCAGGGCAAGAGAGUCUACCGAAAGCCUUCCAGUAGCCAAAGUACGGCGUCUUUCAAACGAGAAGUAUCCGAACGGGCUGCCGUGAUGGUACUUCGUGAAUUGCAAAAGCAAAUAUCAACCCAAAAGGCAACUGGCUCUGGUACCAAGAAGACUAGAAAGACCAAGGCCAAGAAGUGAUUUCCGAGAAGAAAAAAGAACGAUCUGUAAAGGUUCCACGUCAAUGAACUUCACCGUUUACAGAUCUGAGCGUCUUAUUCCUUGACAAAGAUGCCACACAGAAGGAACGUUAAUCCACAUGAAAAAGCUUUAGCUCGUAGUUACUUUAAAUUAAUGUUAUAAUUUUUAAAGCUAGUAAAGAAUUCAAAAGCUUUAGCUCGUAGUUAGUUUAAAUUAAUUUUAUAUCUUUUAAAGCUCGUAAAGAAUAAGUUAAUUAAUAAAUGAAGUGAUCAAUCGUCAAGAUCUUUAACUUAGAUUAAUCUUAGAUCUUUUUAAGGGUAUUGGUACUUGUUGAAGGGCACAAAACGCAAUGUCCACAGAUUUACAUCAAACUCACAUAGUUUCAAGAUAAUGAUAGUAGAAAGCUUCCCUUCAAA